UCCCUUGCAGCGCCCUCCCGCGGCCCGGAGGUCUCCGCUGCGGUCCUCCCGCUGCAGCAGCCGAUGGCAGCGCGGCCUCGGGCCUGGGAUUGAUGUUCACCCGGAGGGAGAGUGAAGGGGGCCCGGGGCCGGGGCCAUGAGUAAACAGGACGAGGCGGACAGGACAAUCUUUGUGGGGAAUCUGGACAGCAGCACCCGGGAGGAGAUCCUGUUCGAGCUCUUUCUGCAGGCUGGGCCUUUGACCAAGGUGCACAUCGCUAAAGACAAAGAUGGCAGGCAGAAGACCUAUGGGUUCGUCUGCUUCAAGCACACAGAGUCCGUUCCAUAUGCCAUCACCUUGCUAAAUGGAAUCAGAUUAUAUGGCAGACCGCUGAAUCUGCAGUAUCGCUCUGGGAGCUCCCAUACAGUGGGGUUGGAAAACUCACCGUGCCAAGCACCACAAGAGAGCUUCAGGAACCCUCCAUUCCAAGACAGACCAGGUUCUUCGCUGUAUCUAACUCCACCAUACUCCAUGAACAACCAUGUCAACCCUGACCCUUACUACUGGCAAACUAUGCUUGUUUUGCACCUAUAACAAAGUCUGACAUCUGGAUUAUGAUGGACAAAAUGCACGCACAUGUACCAUUUUUACAUAAACUAGAAAAUUCUCCGUGAAGCGGCUGUUGCUUCGAUCCCAAGAUCAUGCUCAUCUUUUCACUGCCACUGUACCUUAUGCCAACGUUGGCAGUGCCAUCGGGCUAGGGGGCUUGGGCUUUCUGACACCCUCCCUACACUAUCGCUGGACAAGCUGGUUUUUAGACCUGAAACAAUCUUGUGGAGGAAGACGACCAUGCUUGGCUCAAGGUGUCUGAGGAGAACCAGUGCUUGCAAAACUGCACUCUGGAAAUCGUCAGCGCACACAGGGAGGGAGGGAAACAUGGCGUUGACUGGGGUGGGCAGAACGGAGAUGGGAUAGGGACAGAAAUCUUGUGGUGGUUCACCAUUCUGGUCUGCUCCUCUUUUCAGAUGAACACUUACGCCCUGCAGCAGUACCACAUCAAUUCUCAGAUGGUUCAGCAGCAGCAAUAUUACCAGGCAAUGGCACAAGUGGGACUCCCAGCUCAGAUGUCCCAUUUCAGUCCGAUGUCAGAGUACAUGUCCAAGUCACAUCAGCCUGCAUGGGAAAAUUGUCUACAGAGGGACCGAGUCCCUGAGAACUGCUCCAGCAGUGGUGGAGGAGGACAAGCGAGGGAAUCAGACAGCGACAGUGACAACAGAAGCAUGGAAAAGCUCCAGACAACCAGCAAGCAGCGGGGUCAUCAGUACAAAAAGCACAAAUCCAAAAAGAAAAAGUACUGAUACGCAAGGUUGUGAGGGUAGGAUGAAACUGGGGGAGCUCAGAAUAGAGGCUCUGCCUUUAUCCUCUGGUAAAGAUGUGUGAAAGACCUGACAGAAAUAAGACCAAUUUUGUAACACUUGACAAGAAACAUAUCCUGACAAAUUUUCAGGUGACAAGUUGGAUUGUACGCUCAAAUCCACAGCCUGAUGUAAGAUUAAGUAGGUGGAGAAUGUGGCUCUGAGAAUACUGGUGUCACAAAGAUGGAUUAAUGGUGAUAGUGUUAUCACAGGGGGUUGAGUAAUGUAAUUGUUUAUGGGUGUCUGAAACAUUUCAUGAACACUCCACUCAUACUGUGAAAUACUUAUAAUGUCACUGCAAAAUUAGGGUGUAUCUGGAGAGAAGGUUUAGAACUUUUUGCAACUGGAGUACCUUUCUGCUGGUUCCACCUCUUCACACCAGCAACAUUGCGAAUGGGAGCAAUUGAACUGAUGAACUUAAGUGCAUUAGGUCACUUUAUACUUCAUUGGUUUUGGUUUCUGACUGAAUGAUACGUAACUAGCUCUUGCACUUGGGAACAGUAUAUGGUAGACUUACCCAAAUCUUUGCUAUUAGUGGGGAACUGUGUUUGAGGGUGGCAUGGUUGAGUGGAGUGGCGCUACUCCAGGCCACACUGCCUUCUACUGCUUGUUCCUGCUGUGAAGGUGGGAAUACCAAUAAAUUCAUAGCUGGCUAAUUCAUUGUCUCUUUUGCACAUUAAAUGCUGUUGCACACUGCCUUACCUUGAAA